UGAGAUUCUACUUCAGUUGCC
rnacentral:siRNA from 1 species